rnacentral:lncRNA from 1 species
GACAUCGUUCACUGCUUCCACCAUGGGUCGUUCAAUGACACAACGUCGAUUCGUUCGACACCGCAGCUCAGGAGUUUCCCUCCUUUCCCAACCUCCACUGUGCUCCAGCUAAGGUCUCUCAUGUUCUCCUCUCUCCCGUAACCUCUGUCUCUUCUUUCGCUUGAAUUCCUGCUAAUGUUAGUUGUAGCUUGAAUUCCUGAAAUAUUAAUGUAUUUUUACUCUGCUUGCAAAUGCGUGAAAUGCUGCUGGUGCUUCCCUAUGCGUGACGAUUCUGAUUGUUUAGCACAAAGGGGGCAAGUACUUGUUGUAAUGCUUGACACCAAUCUACUAUCGGAAGUUAGAGAAAGAAUAGUAGCAAGUCCAAGCUCUCUUUGAGUGGAGGUACAUAACCAAUUCAAAUGCUUGUUUUGGUUAUGUUUAAGGAAACUCAUAAUUUUUAUCUUUGUCCACUGUUAGCUAUGUAAAACAACUCAAUAAAAUUUCACUUUUCAAUGCUUUAAUAGUUCAAUUGGUAAAAACAGUAGGUGUUCAUUCUACAAAAAAACACUGACUUUUAUAUGUGUAAAGAAAGAAAUGGAAAUAUGUAAGUUCAUACAGGGACAUAUAUAUGCUAAACUUGCGUCCAACACACGAGCAUUUGCAUCCACCAGUAAGGGGCAUUUGCAUCCCGCACAUCAGCUACAUGCUCAACAGUUGCACACUGCCGCCAUGGACAUGCACAAAUGAUAUUAAGUAGAAGUUUGUUAGUUCAGUUUUUUUAUUGAUUUACCUUGUUUAAGUAGUAGUGCAGCAAUAAAAGGUGUAGUUGUACUGAGUUUUAGUUUCUAUAUGGGGAACCCAAUGUCCAUUUAUUUUGGUUUACAGUUCAGCUUGUCUAUUCUUUUCAGUUUGUAUGCUUUAUUGUGCAUAAUCUUGAGGAAAUCCCCAAAAAUCAUGUGUGCACUCAAGGUAAUUAAGUGGCUUUGUCAAUUCUGACAGUCCAUCCCAGACUAAGCAAAAUAGUACAUGUUAGUCUUGGUUUGUGGUUAGACAUGAAAUCUGGUUUCAUAGAUUCUUCUAGUCAAACUGGAAAUACCAUGUUUUAGGUAAUCCUACUAGUUCAGUGCUAGUACUUCUAUUUUAUGUUUAUCUUACAAGUGGAAAAUGUUAAGGCUGGUCAUGUUGCCAAUUUUUCAUAGAUUUCCUAAGUAGCCUGAGACCCAUCCUGUCCUCUAUACAGAUUCAGAGUUUAACACGUCAAUGGAAAUUUGUUCUCAAAACUGAAAUUGUUCCGCAUGUGCUGAUAGACUAGUUGUUAAUUAUUGGAGUGUUUCGUUCUUGCAGAAUAAAAAUAUGAUCUAUGCAUUGCUUCUUGGCCCAGCUGAGAGAACACUCAUGUUAAAAAGUAUAAAGCAGUUCUGAAGCAAUUCCCAGUGUCUUUUAAGGCAUUCAUAGUUAAAAAAAGCAACGACAACCUCCUCCGUUUGAGUUGAGCACUGGUCAUCGUCCAAGUUGAGCAGUAGGUGCCGUCCAAGUUCAAAGAGGGUUGUAUACAAGUACAAAAGUUUCUUUCAGUGAGAAAAAAUGCAGGGUUUUGAUAAAUAUUCUCUAUGAUUCAAUUGUUCAUCCUUAGACCUUGGCAAAAUUCAGUCUAUUUUUCUAUGAUGGAGGUACACAUGAAGUCAUGUGCAAUGGCUAUCCCCCUUGUGCUUCUAAGAUUCAUAUUUUGUUUCUUCAAGUGUGUUGUGUGCCAAUCUGAUAUGUAAAACAAAGUAAAAAAGUGAAAGUGUCACUAAAGACACUUGGAAGUACAAAUGUAAAAAAUAAAUAAGUUCUGAUUCUCGUCAGGUAGGAAGUUUUGGAGAAGAAAACAUAAGUUUUGGAAAGAAGGAAUGGUAAAAAUGUAAGUCUGUUCAAGUAUAUAAACCAUAAAGGUACGAUGGUGAUGACAUUAACAGUAACGAUAAGGAUGAUAAAGAAAAUUAAAAACUAAAACUAAAAGAACAUCAAGUGAUUAUUUUUUGAGAAGUACAAACUCUCUACUACCAUCAGUACCAUAAAUUAAAAAUUAAUAAAUCGGAAAAUUCAAAUGGGAAAAGUUCAAGUCGCAAAAUGCGAGAAGUCCAAAACAUCGUUCAAAAAAAUUGAGUUCAAAAAAAGAAACACACAAAACAUUUUCUUUUUGAAAAAAAUAUCAUUCAAUUCAAUGAUAUAAACCAUGCAAGUUCGAGGACUAUGAUAUCCUAAACCAUUGAAAAGUUACGAGG